rnacentral:tRNA from 2 species
GCGGGCGUGGCGAAACUGGUAGACGCAAGGGACUUAAAAUCCCUCGACCGGAUGGUCAUGCGGGUUCGACCCCCGCCGUCCGCACCA